rnacentral:misc_RNA from 1 species
UUUCCGUAGGUGAACCUGCGGAAGGAUCAUUAUUGUAUAACCGAGGUGCGAGGGCUGUCGCUGACCCGAAAGGUCGUGCACGCCCGAGUGCCCUCACACACAUCCAUCUCACCCCUAUGUGCACCACCGCGUGGGUCCCCCUUUGGCUUGUUCGGAGGGGGGCUUACGUUUUCACACAAACUUUGUAUGCAGUGUAGAAUGUAUUUUUUGUUUUUGCGAUCACGCAAUCAAUACAACUUUCAACAACGGAUCUCUUGGCUCUCGCAUCAUGAAGAACGCAGC